rnacentral:siRNA from 1 species
GAUAUUGGGUGGACUUAUACCAAA